rnacentral:rRNA from 1 species
AGUCGAACGGCAGCGCGGACUUCGGUCUGGCGGCGAGUGGCGAACGGGUGAGUAAUAUAUCGGAACAUACCCAGUAAUGGGGGAUAACUAUCCGAAAGGAUAGCUAAUACCGCAUACGCCCUAAGGGGGAAAGAGGGGGAUCGCAAGACCUCUUGUUAUUGGAGUGGCCGAUAUCUGAUUAGCUAGUUGGUAGGGUAAAAGCCUACCAAGGCAUCGAUCAGUAGCUGGUUUGAGAGAACGACCAGCCACACUGGAACUGAGACACGGUCCAGACUCCUACGGGAGGCAGCAGUGGGGAAUUUUGGACAAUGGGGGCAACCCUGAUCCAGCAAUGCCGCGUGAGUGAAGAAGGCCCUCGGGUUGUAAAGCUCUUUUGUCAGGGAAGAAAAGGUCACUCCUAAUACGGGUGACUGAUGACGGUACCUGAAGAAUAAGCACCGGCUAACUACGUGCCAGCAGCCGCGGUAAUACGUAGGGUGCAAGCGUUAAUCGGAAUUACUGGGCGUAAAGCGUGCGCAGGCGGUUUUAUAAGUCUGAUGUGAAAUCCCCGGGCUCAACCUGGGAACUGCAUUGGAGACUGUAAGGCUAGAGUGUGUCAGAGGGGGGUAGAAUUCCACGUGUAGCAGUGAAAUGCGUAGAUAUGUGGAGGAAUACCGAUGGCGAAGCAGCCCCCUGGGAUAACACUGACGCUCAUGCACGAAAGCGUGGGGAGCAAACAGAUAGAUACCCUGUAGUCCACGCCCUAAACGAUGUCUACUAUUGUCGGGACUUAAUGUCUUGGUAACGCAGCUAACGCGUGAAGUAACCGCCUGGGGAGUACGGUCGCAGAUUAAAACUCAAGAAUUGACGGGGACCCCA